rnacentral:rRNA from 1 species
ACGUACACUCCUACGGGAGGCAGCAGUGGGGAAUAUUGCACAAUGGGCGCAAGCCUGAUGCAGCGACGCCGCGUGGGGGAUGAAGGCCUUCGGGUUGUAAACUCCUUUCGCUAGGGACGAAGCUUUUUUGUGACGGUACCUAGAUAAGAAGCACCGGCUAACUACGUGCCAGCAGCCGCGGUAAUACGUAGGGUGCGAGCGUUGUCCGGAAUUACUGGGCGUAAAGGGCUCGUAGGUGGUUUGUCGCGUCGUCUGUGAAAUUCUGGGGCUUAACUCCGGGCGUGCAGGCGAUACGGGCAUAACUUGAGUGCUGUAGGGGUAACUGGAAUUCCUGGUGUAGCGGUGAAAUGCGCAGAUAUCAGGAGGAACACCGAUGGCGAAGGCAGGUUACUGGGCAGUUACUGACGCUGAGGAGCGAAAGCAUGGGUAGCGAACAGGAUUAGAUACCCUAGUAGUCCC